CAGGAAUGGGGACCAGCAUAACGGGCCAGAAGGGUGAAGAAACUGAGGCUUGGAGAGGCUGAGCAGUUUGGGCAAGAUUGCAUUGUGGUCGGCGACGGAGCUGGAAGGAUUUCUUGGCCGGCUUCAACCUGGACCCUGCACAGCGGAUCCCCUCCGGAGCACAGGACUGGAUGCUAAUGAGGUCACCACCGAGCUCCCGGGGGGUCUCAGAGGCGAGAGCAGCUGGGAAGCUGAAGCCUGCAGAUCACAGCCUCCUCGGGAUGCCGCUCGUGCGGCCCAAGGCUUGGUGUCGGAGGACAACUGCACACAGACCUGAGUUCUUUUUCUCCUUGUCCAGUGUUCUGCAAAUCUACCCACCCCGUUUUGCAUGCUUUGCACCCAGGAAAGCUGGCCAUACUGUCCUGCACCUGUGAAUCCCCGUCUCCACUGGCCUCUCACUCGUCCAGCUGCUGCAACUCAGGGUUUAGCAUCUACAUUUUAUUUACCCCGUUGAACUUCCAUUGCGGUGGUCUUGGUUCUUAUGUACUGGUCACAGAUGAAGGACGUCCUGAUUGAGACUGCGUUGAGCUUUUGGCCACUCACUCAAAAGAAGGCAAAAUACAGGAUUCGGGAGGCCCCUUCCCAGCUCAGCUUGGCCGGCAGGGGAGGCGUGCAUGGAUGCCAUCUGCUGGGGGCUGCCUGGUCCUGUCUUCACACUGUGCCGUCGGCUCUGAAAGCCGGGGUGGGCAGGGGUGUGUGUGUAACGAGUCCACCCCCAGGUCGACCUCAUCAACCAUCCCUCUCUGUUGCCAUUUCAAAACCCCUGGUAUAACUUUCACUGCGAUGUGGUGGCAUUUACUUUGACCAAAGCAUUACAGAGUCACAAAUACAUCCCCUCUGGGACUUUUCUCACUGCCCCUCUGGUUCUAAAAUUCCACAUUUUCAAACAAACUAUGAAUUGUUUCCCCUUCAGCUCCUGUCUAUCUCUUUCCCUUUGGGCUGCUUCACAUCACCUCUGACAUUAUACUAUAUCUGAUACUCUAGCUGACUCUAAGGCCACUGCCUGUCCUCUCCCACUGGGAUGGAAGCAUCAGGAGGUCAGGGGCCUCGCACGUCUCCAUUCCCUGUGUCUAGAAUAGUACCCUGGGCAUGGCACGAGCUCAACCAGUAUUUCAUGACCAACUGCGUUAGUCCAUUCACUAAAUAUUGACUAGUGGAUGUCCCACAAUGUGUGUGGAGUCCUGUGGAGGGCAUGAAUGACAAUCAGAUGCACAGUUUAUGGACAGCUGGGUGCAGAUGCCGUGCCAUGUAUGUGUUUCACAUCCAUCAUCGUGUUGAACCAGGGAUCAGUGGGGCCGGUGGUCGGAAAGCUGGGCUCCACUGUCCAAAUGCCUGGGUUCAGUUCUGGCCCCAGCACUUGCUAGGUCUGUGACCUCAGGCAAGGUGUUCAGGCCC